UCCCUGUGGCUCAGAUGGUAAAGCGUCUGCCUGCAAUGCGGGAGACCCAGGUUUGAUCCCUGGGUCGGGAA
rnacentral:tRNA from 1 species